GACGAACGCUGGCGGCGUGCCUAAUACAUGCAAGUCGAGCGGACAGAUGGGAGCUUGCUCCCUGAUGUCAGCGGCGGACGGGUGAGUAACACGUGGGUAACCUGCCUGUAAGACUGGGAUAACUCCGGGAAACCGGGGCUAAUACCGGAUGCUUGAUUGAACCGCAUGGUUCAAUUAUAAAAGGUGGCUUUUAGCUACCACUUACAGAUGGACCCGCGGCGCAUUAGCUAGUUGGUGAGGUAACGGCUCACCAAGGCAACGAUGCGUAGCCGACCUGAGAGGGUGAUCGGCCACACUGGGACUGAGACACGGCCCAGACUCCUACGGGAGGCAGCAGUAGGGAAUCUUCCGCAAUGGACGAAAGUCUGACGGAGCAACGCCGCGUGAGUGAUGAAGGUUUUCGGAUCGUAAAACUCUGUUGUUAGGGAAGAACAAGUACCGUUCGAAUAGGGCGGUACCUUGACGGUA
rnacentral:rRNA from 1 species